CGUCCGCUCUGGGUUAGUCGGGACCUAAGCCGAGGCCGAUAGGCGUAGGCGAUGGAUAACAGGUAGAUAUUCCUGUACCACCUAUGAUUGUUUGAACGAUGGGGGGACGCAGUAGGAUAGGCGAAGCGUGCUGUUGGAGUGCACGUCCAAGCAACAAGACUGAGUGUUAGGCAAAUCCGGCACUCGUAAGGUUGAGUUGUGAUGGGGAGCUGGAUCAUGUAUCCGGCGAGUCGUUGAUUUCACACUGCCAAGAAAAGCCUCUAGUUAGAAAAUAGGUGCCCGUACCGCAAACCGACACAGGUAGUCAAGAUGAGAAUUCUAAGGUGAGCGAGCGAACUCUCGUUAAGGAACUCGGCAAAAUGACCCCGUAACUUCGGGAGAAGGGGUGCUUUUUAGGGUGCAAGCCUUGAAGAGCCGCAGUGAAUAGGCCCAAGCGACUGUUUAUCAAAAACACAGGUCUCUGCUAAACCGUAAGGUGAUGUAUAGGGGCUGACGCCUGCCCGGUGCUGGAAGGUUAAGAGGAGUGGUUAGCUUCUGCGAAGCUACGAAUCGAAGCCCCAGUAAACGGCGGCCGUAACUAUAACGGUCCUAAGGUAGCGAAAUUCCUUGUCGGGUAAGUUCCGACCCGCACGAAAGGCGUAACGAUUUGGGCACUGUCUCAACGAGAGACUCGGUGAAAUCAUAGUACCUGUGAAGAUGCAGGUU
rnacentral:rRNA from 1 species